UACGUAGGUGGCAAGCGUUGUCCGGAUUUACUGGGUGUAAAGGGCGUGUAGCCGGGCUUACAAGUCAGAUGUGAAAUCCGGGGGCUCAACCCCCGAACUGCAUUUGAAACUGUAGGUCUUGAGUAUCGGAGAGGCAGGCGGAAUUCCUAGUGUAGCGGUGAAAUGCGUAGAUAUUAGGAGGAACACCAGUGGCGAAGGCGGCCUGCUGGACGACAACUGACGGUGAGGCGCGAAAGCGUGGGUAGCAAACAGG
rnacentral:rRNA from 1 species